CAUACAACACUCCUUCCGUGGCCUCCAACUGCUCUUAAAUGCUAGUAAACCUCUUGAACUCAGCCAGGGUCUGUAGAGCGUAGUACUAGUACAGCACAAACAGAUCUGGGGACAAGUUUGCGCUAAACAGGGUCUGCAGAGCGUAGUACUAGUACAGCACAAACUGAUGUGGGACCAGGCUUAAGUUAGUUAGGGUGAGCAGUACUAGUAUAGUAUGCGUAAUGAAAGAGGACACAGAAGGUCACCACUCCUCCAUGUUCUCUCUGGCUCACUGUUCUAAUACAACAACCCUAGCUGUUUUCUGUCUGCUCAGAUCGUUCACAGAACACACACACACACACACACACACACACACACGCAGACACACACUGGUCAUGCUUCUCUCCCUCGUCUGCACAGUGGCAAUAACAAGCAAGUCCCUGGGGUGCAGUUGAGCUCCACAACUCCGUGACGGACGGCCACACAGACCCCAGGCGGCAGGAAGUGACAUCAGCAAAGCACUCCAACCACGAAUGUUGCUCGCCUCCAGGUCUUCUGAUGCAGCACUCCAUCACUCUCCUUCUUGGUGAAAUAGCACUUACACAGUCUGGAUGUGUGUUGGGUCAUUGUCCUGUUGAAAAACAAAUGUCUUACUAAGCCGAAACCAUCUCAAUUGAGUUAAGGUCUGAUGAUCUCCCAAGUGCCGCCACGGUCUAAGGCAUCUCAGUGCUUGAGGCGUCACUACAGACACACUGCUUGACAAUCACACAAAGCUCAAACCAGAUGAGAUUGCCUAUUGCUGUGGUAACCAUGCUGGUUAAGUGUGCCUUGAAUUGUAAAUAACUGACAGUAUCACCAGCAACGCACCCCCACACCAU